GCUCCUAUCGUUUAAUGGUCAGGACUUUGCUUUUUCGUGGCAAAAAUGUGGGUUCGAGUCCACUAGGAGUA
rnacentral:tRNA from 1 species